GAUGAACGCUGGCGGCGUGCCUAAUACAUGCAAGUCGAGCGAACAGACGAGGAGCUUGCUCCUCUGACGUUAGCGGCGGACGGGUGAGUAACACGUGGAUAACCUACCUAUAAGACUGGGAUAACUUCGGGAAACCGGAGCUAAUACCGGAUAAUAUAUUGAACCGCAUGGUUCAAUAGUGAAAGACGGUUUUGCUGUCACUUAUAGAUGGAUCCGCGCCGCAUUAGCUAGUUGGUAAGGUAACGGCUUACCAAGGCAACGAUGUGUAGCCGACCUGAGAGGGUGAUCGGCCACACUGGAACUGAGACACGGUCCAGACGCCUACGGGAGGCAGCAGUAGGGAAUCUUCCGCAAUGGGCGAAAGCAUGACGGAGCAACGCCGCGUGAGUGAUGAAGGUCUUCGGAUCGUAAAACUCUGUUAUUAGGGAAGAACAAAUGUGUAAGUAACUAUGCACGUCUUGACGGUACCUAAUCAGAAAGCCACGGCUAACUACGUG
rnacentral:rRNA from 1 species